UUGACCCAGAAACCCAGUCAUCCACUAACAUUGUUACUUUUUCCAUGAGAUUCCAGUGACUAACAAAAGCACAAGCAAAGGCAUUACUCUCCAAAGCUAUGAGCAAAUCCAGCUGGUAAACAUUAAAAGCAAUGAGAGUCCUGUAAACUUAAUACAUCAAAAAAUUACUAUUUUUUCCAGACCAUUGUCUUAUUGCUGUUUUACCCAUUGCUUUCAGUCCCUACCAUGUACACUGUUAAAGUGAAGGAUGAACUGACAUUAUAUCAAUCUGCAACUGAGCUUUAAACUAUGCAUGAAAAGUAUCCAUCCAUCCAUCCAUCCAUCCUUCCGGGGCCAUGGGGCCUAUUAAAGCUUUCAAUCUAAAAAAUUAAGCAUUUAUUGCUUUUAGCAGAAUAAUACAUUGAAAAUAAAGAGAAUAACACAAUUCAGAUUAAAGCUGGAUCCUACUUUACUCAUUAUAUAAGAGACUGGCUACACAGUGAAUAUGGGGUUACCUGCAUAGAGGUCCAAAGCAUUAUUUACAUAUUAUAGAAAUAAACUCACAGUAAUAAUAUGUUCAAUAUUAACAUAAACUAGAUUUGUGAGGAUUUAUUUUUAUUUUUUGCACCUAAUGUUUUCACAAACCCGAGACACUGUAGCACGGACACCUACAGAUAGGCCACUGGCAAGGAGUGCCGUAUAAACAAACGCUGCUGGAGAAUCUGCCAGAGGAGGUUUCUUGGGGUGAUAUACAUGCAGUAGAAAUAGGAAAAGGAUAAUAAAUUAUCAGGGUUUUAAAGUAUGAUAAAGAUCAGGCCAGCGAGCUAACAACACGCCACCCUCUGAGUUUAGAAAAAAAUGUGGCUUUAUAACCACAUCUCCAGCUGGAGGGGCCACCAUGGAGGCCACAUAAACACAGCUAUUAUUAAAGCCCACAGAAUGAGCUGUCAUUCAGACAGCCAACCACAGCAAUCCCGGACAUUUAUCCUGCAAUACUUCAAUCUUGUAGCCUCUUGUAAGCAUUGAAAUUCAGAAAUAUACUUAUCUUUCCAUGCUGCAAAUAUAGGUCGACGAAUAAAUUACAAUUGCUGGUUUACUAAAGUCACUCUGCUGUACGGUACCCGGAAUUUCUUUGAGAUCUCUUGGAUUAAACUGCAAGUGCAUAAAAAUUGAGGGGAUGCAUUAGGGCUCGUUAAGGCUUGUAUGGUGCAGCGGAGGUUUGGAGAUUCAGAAAUUGACCAUAAUAGCCUUGUGAUUUCCCAAAUGGUCCAGCUGCUUAUCCUCAGCAGAGCCGAGAGCUGCUGCCAGCGAAUGGCAAAGAAACAUCCAGCCUACUGCUUCCCAUCACUGUCUCUGUCUGUGUAAACAGGCACGGCUCUUAAUGAGACCACGGCCAGGAAUGCAGGUUGCAGACCCUUUCUGGGAAUCGAACACCUGGAAACACCUGGAGUGCCUUCCAGGCAAGCAUUGAAAACAGGUCUGAAGGGUUGCAAGUCUGAAGCAUCCAAAACAGCAUGGGGCCAGGGUACCUUCUAAACAGGAUGUCAGUCCAUCGUAGAGCAUGCAUGUCCACACAUGCAAACACACUAUGGGUAUUUUAGAACCAUCAGCCUACAUUACUGCGUGUCUUUGGACUGUGGGAGACAAGCAGACUAAUCAGGAGAAACAAGUACGACGCGAGGAGGACGUACAACCUCCUCACACGCAGGAGAGAGGUGGAAUUCCAGCCCCCAACCAUGGAGGUGCAAGGAAAUGUGUGAGUGCGCUACCCACUGAGCAGUCAUGCACAGUCAUGUGCUUCUUGUCCGUCUUGUUUAAGUGAAACAUUUAUUUUUUGUUCUGGAAGCGGUACAGACUCCCCUUCAUUCACGGAAGUAAAAGACAUGGAAAAUUUCACUAUGCAGAAUUACAAUGUAUGGAAUUUCAAUCAUAUGGAUAUAACAUAAUGGAAUAAAACGUAGAAGUAAAAUAAAACAACAUGAAUAAAAAUUAAUCAUAUACCAUAAAAUUAAAGUAAUAACUGACUGCUCUCUUCCUGGUGAGUCUCCCAACCCUCAUCAGGGCAACUAUAAACAAAUCAGGCAUUUACACCAAUUGAACACAUUGAAACAGGUGUCCUUUCCCAGAGCUUCAGUUUAAAGCAUCAUUUCCUCAAUGUAGCACAUCUGCUUUUAAUCAGCAGUCUGAGGGGAAGCACAGGACUGCCUGGGCAGCCAUGGAGAUCCCGAAUGGGGGAAUCCCAAACAUUCAUUAUUCCAAAGAACUGUCCUUCCACUUUUGCUUCACCUAGAGUUACUACAUAACCCUUCCCAGCUCACUGGAUUCCACUUCCUCUAUGGAAUCUGUAGCAGAAACUCAAGAGCAUUUAGAUUUAAACAUAUUAAUAGGGAUGCACACAACUGCACACAAAUACACAUCUGCUGUAUACUGCAAUACG